GAAAGUGCUUCCAUCCUGGGAGCCAGUUUAAGUGAAAUUAAGAUAGGACUUUGCAGCUCAUUGCAAACAAAAACAAACAAACAUACAAACGAAAAACUCAAACCAAAAUGAGACAAAAGACAAGAAACCUAUGAAAUCCAAGCUUUGUUAAAAUCAGUCACUCCCAGGCAACUCUGGUUGUUUUCAUCUAAGGCGGUGUGAAUGACUUCCCUGUAAGUGGAAGAAGGAGCCCCAGCUCCAUCUGAGUACCCCGGUCCCUAGGGCAGUUAAUUACAGGCAGAGCGUCUCGGUGAACGUCAUUGUCCUUGAGUUUCAAAGGACUACACUGGACAUAAGGCAGUUUUCUUGUGUUGGAAACAUGAAAUGCUCUCAGAUCCUUGGAGCCGGUGCUGCCUCUAGUAUCACUUUUAAAAGGAGAGACCUAACCACAGAAGACUAUAGGCUAUAGACACAACUGUGGGCGAUGCUGGCAUAAAGCACUCGCUUUAGUAACAGAAAGGAAAGCUGCUUGCAGGCAGUUCCCUGAGGAAUCAAAUCACUCCAUAGGGAAGACCAACACUGAGGCUCUCCCUGUGAAGACCAACACUGAGGCUCUCCCUGUGAAGACCAACACUGAGGCUCUCCCUGUGAAGUUUGCUCACUAACCUCAGAUGACACUGGAUGCUACCCCAGCCGGUUGGUUAUAUCACACACAGCACCCACAAGGGCAUUUGUUCCCUUCUCUGCUCCUGUCAUAAACACUCAUAUUUGCUUGUGAAAGACAGCUUGCCAUUUGGAGGCCAAACCGUGGGUUGUCACUAAUGAGCUGGCCCUCUGAUCAUCAUUUGCCUAGAAGGUAAGGAGCGAGAUUGGAUUCCCUAAACAACACAGCCAAAACCCACAACAAAACAAAUGGAGGGAUUUCCUUCUUCAGGGAACAGUUCUUUCCAGAGACAUCUCUAUAGACACACCCAGGAGCGUGUUUCCAUGGUGAUUCUAAACUCCCAUAAAGUUGAGAAGAUUAUCACAUCAGCCUUUCUUGUUUGCGGCUCAAUAAGGUCACAGCAACAUAUAUUCGUUUUAAAAAUAAAGCAAACAAAAACCCCAAGCCAGCAGUGUGUGAGUACUGUAAGCUGCAAUUGCUGAUGGAAUGGCGCCUUGAGAAACUCAUUGCCCGGACGUCUACUUGAAGCCCAUUGUAUACAAGGCACUUGGUUGAGCAGUGAGGGCCAGGCUGGUGCUUUCUGG
rnacentral:lncRNA from 1 species